rnacentral:lncRNA from 1 species
CCAAACCAGUGGAUAUCUUAAACAUUUCCUUCCCUAACAAGGAAAAGUUCUUUUAAAAAAUGAGAUUCUAAAACAAUCAAAAUGAUAAAGAAAAAAAAUGGGAGAAAGAAUCUAGCAAAAAAGGUAUUAAAUUCAAAAUUAAAUUGAGCACUGAUAAACCUCACUGUCAAAGCCAUUUAAACAAAUUGAAAUGCAUCCUUCCCUCUCAGUUUCACACAAAGUACAAUAUGCCCUAUUUUAAAAUUAGAUAAGCUGCUUAAAAGCUAUUACUGUAAAACUCCACCUUCUCGCUAACCAAAUUUACUGUAAUGUGGGGUAAGAUAUUUUUUCUUUCACUAUUUCUAUUUGUUGUUUUGAAGAGAGUGAUACUUUUAAAAUGUUUUUCAUGUUCUUAAAGUAAAUGCAUUUCAAUGUUUUUGAAAAAUUAAGAAUGUAAAAAUAUACAGUAGCUC